CCUACGGGAUGCUGCAGUCGAGAAUUAUUCACAAUGGGGGAAACCCUGAUGGUGCGACGCCGCGUGGGGGAAUGAAGGUCUUCGGAUUGUAAACCCCUGUCAUGUGGGAGCAAAUUAAAAAGAUAGUACCCCAAGAGGACGAGACGGCUAACUCUGUGCCAGCAGCCGCGGUAAUACAGAGGUCUCAAGCGUUGUUCGGAAUCACUGGGCGUAAAGCGUGCGUAGGCUGUUUCGUAAGUCGUGUGUGAAAGGCGCGGGCUCAAGCCGCGGACGGCACAUGAUACUGCGAGACUAGAGUAAUGGAGGGGGAACCGGAAGUCUCGGUGGAGCAGUGAAAUGCGUAGAUAUCGAGAGGAACACUCGUGGCGAAGGCGGGUUCCUGGACAUUAACUGACGCUGAGGCACGAAGGCCAGGGGAGCGAAAGGGAUUAGAUACCCUAGUAGUC
rnacentral:rRNA from 1 species